UCCCAGUCACCCAGAAAAUAAACUUUUAAUUCCCUGCCCCUUUUUGGAACAUGCCUUUUCCUUCCUCAUCUAGUCCUCUGAGAAUUGAACCCCUCCUUCAAAAGCCAGAUCCAAUUCCCACUUCCUCCGUGGAGUCUUCCUUCCCUGGCCAGAAUAGCUUUGUUCAGAUAUUUGCAAAUAUUUGGUUAGGAUGAAUCUGCUUCUACUUGCUACCACACCCAAAA
rnacentral:lncRNA from 1 species